AUGUCAGGACAGCUUUCAGUGACUCAAACUCCUUCAGCAGCAGCUCCAGCAGGACAAACUGUGACUAUAAACUGUCAGACUAGCAGAGGAAUUGGAGAUCGGUCACAGGGAUGUAGAGACUGUCUCUCCUGGUAUCUGCAGAAACCUGGAGAAGCUCCUAAACUCCUCAUUUAUUAUAUUAACCGUCUCCAGUCAGGAAUACCAGCCAGAUUCAGUGGCAGUGGAGCAGAUUAUGGCAGUGAUUUCACUCUGACCAUCAGUGGAGUCCAGACUGAAGAUGCUGGACAUUAUUACUGUAUGAAAUGUAUUGGUCAGGUGACAGUGACUCAAACUCCCUCAGUGCUGCUCUCUGAACCUGGACGAUCUCUCACUGUCCACUGCAGGACCAGCAGUGAUCCAGUCAACUGGUGUAAUAGUAAACAGUGUGUUAGCUGGUAUUUACAAAAACCCGGAGAAGCUCCUAAACUCCUGAUUCAUUCAACAAGCAGCCUCCAGCCAGGAACUGCAUCUAGAUUCAGUGGCAGUGGAUCUAACAGUGAUUUCACUCUGAGCAUCAGUGCAGUCCAGACUGAAGAUGCUGGACAUUAUUACUGUCAGAGUUACCACAGUGGUGGUGUGUUCACACAGUGA